rnacentral:rRNA from 1 species
CCUACGGGAGGCAGCAGUGGGGAAUAUUGGGCAAUGGACGCAAGUCUGACCCAGCAACGCCGCGUGAAGGAAGAAGGCCUUCGGGUUGUUAACUUCUUUUAAGGGGGAAGAGCAGAAGACGGUACACCUUGAAUAAGCCACGGCUAACUACGUGCCAGCAGCCGCGGUAAUACGUAGGUGGCAAGCGUUAUCCGGAUUUAUUGGGUUUAAAGGGUGCGCAGGCGGAAGAUCAAGUCAGCGGUAAAAUUGAGAGGCUCAACCUCUUCGAGCCGUUGAAACUGGUUUUCUUGAGUGAGUGAGAAGUAUGCGGAAUGCGUGGUGUAGCGGUGAAAUGCAUAGAUAUCACGCAGAACUCCGAUUGCGAAGGCAGCAUACCGGCGCUCAACUGACGCUCAUGCACGAAAGUGUGGGUAUCGAACAGGAUUAGAUACCCGGGUAGUC